GGAGAGCUGUCCGAGUGGUCGAAGGAGCACGAUUGGAAAUCGUGUAUACGUUAAUCGCGUAUCGAGGGUUCGAAUCCCUCGCUCUCCG
rnacentral:tRNA from 4 species